GGGACACGUGGUAUCCUGUCUGAAUAUGGGGGGACCAUCCUCCAAGGCUAAAUACUCCUGACUGACCGAUAGUGAACCAGUACCGUGAGGGAAAGGCGAAAAGAACCCCGGCGAGGGGAGUGAAAAAGAACCUGAAACCGUGUACGUACAAGCAGUGGGAGCACAGAGCAAUCUGUGUGACUGCGUACCUUUUGUAUAAUGGGUCAGCGACUUAUAUUCUGUAGCAAGGUUAACCGAAUAGGGGAGCCGAAGGGAAACCGAGUCUUAACUGGGCGUUAAGUUGCAGGGUAUAGACCCGAAACCCGGUGAUCUAGCCAUGGGCAGGUUGAAGGUUGGGUAACACUAACUGGAGGACCGAACCGACUAAUGUUGAAAAAUUAGCGGAUGACUUGUGGCUGGGGGUGAAAGGCCAAUCAAACCGGGAGAUAGCUGGUUCUCCCCGAAAGCUAUUUAGGUAGCGCCUCGUGAAUUCAUCUCCGGGGGUAGAGCACUGUUUCGGCAAGGGGGUCAUCCCGACUUACCAACCCGAUGCAAACUGCGAAUACCGGAGAAUGUUAUCACGGGAGACACACGGCGGGUGCUAACGUCCGUCGUGAAGAGGGAAACAACCCAGACCGCCAGCUAAGGUCCCAAAGUCAUGGUUAAGUGGGAAACGAUGUGGGAAGGCCCAGACAGCCAGGAUGUUGGCUUAGAAGCAGCCAUCAUUUAAAGAAAGCGUAAUAGCUCACUGGUCGAGUCGGCCUGCGCGGAAGAUGUAACGGGGCUAAACCAUGCACCGAAGCUGCGGCAGCGACGCUGAUGCGUUGUUGGGUAGGGGAGCGUUCUGUAAGCCUGUGAAGGUGUGCUGUGAGGCAUGCUGGAGGUAUCAGAAGUGCGAAUGCUGACAUAAGUAACGAUAAAGCGGGUGAAAAGCCCGCUCGCCGGAAGACCAAGGGUUCCUGUCCAACGUUAAUCGGGGCAGGGUGAGUCGACCCCUAAGGCGAGGCCGAAAGGCGUAGUCGAUGGGAAACAGGUUAAUAUUCCUGUACUUGGUGUUACUGCGAAGGGGGGACGGAGAAGGCUAUGUUGGCCGGGCGACGGUUGUCCCGGUUUAAGCGUGUAGGCUGGUUUUCCAGGCAAAUCCGGAAAAUCAAGGCUGAGGCGUGAUGACGAGGCACUACGGUGCUGAAGCAACAAAUGCCCUGCUUCCAGGAAAAGCCUCUAAGCAUCAGGUAACAUCAAAUCGUACCCCAAACCGACACAGGUGGUCAGGUAGAGAAUACCAAGGCGCUUGAGAGAACUCGGGUGAAGGAACUAGGCAAAAUGGUGCCGUAACUUCGGGAGAAGGCACGCUGAUAUGUAGGUGAAGUCCCUCGCGGAUGGAGCUGAAAUCAGUCGAAGAUACCAGCUGGCUGCAACUGUUUAUUAAAAACACAGCACUGUGCAAACACGAAAGUGGACGUAUACGGUGUGACGCCUGCCCGGUGCCGGAAGGUUAAUUGAUGGGGUCAGCGCAAGCGAAGCUCUUGAUCGAAGCCCCGGUAAACGGCGGCCGUAACUAUAACGGUCCUAAGGUAGCGAAAUUCCUUGUCGGGUAAGUUCCGACCUGCACGAAUGGCGUAAUGAUGGCCAGGCUGUCUCCACCCGAGACUCAGUGAAAUUGAACUCGCUGUGAAGAUGCAGUGUACCCGCGGCAAGACGGAAAGACCCCGUGAACCUUUACUAUAGCUUGACACUGAACAUUGAGCCUUGAUGUGUAGGAUAGGUGGGAGGCUUUGAAGUGUGGACGCCAGUCUGCAUGGAGCCGACCUUGAAAUACCACCCUUUAAUGUUUGAUGUUCUAACGUUGACCCGUGAUCCGGGUUGCGGACAGUGUCUGGUGGGUAGUUUGACUGGGGCGGUCUCCUCCUAAAGAGUAACGGAGGAGCACGAAGGUUGGCUAAUCCUGGUCGGACAUCAGGAGGUUAGUGCAAUGGCAUAAGCCAGCUUGACUGCGAGCGUGACGGCGCGAGCAGGUGCGAAAGCAGGUCAUAGUGAUCCGGUGGUUCUGAAUGGAAGGGCCAUCGCUCAACGGAUAAAAGGUACUCCGGGGAUAACAGGCUGAUACCGCCCAAGAGUUCAUAUCGACGGCGGUGUUUGGCACCUCGAUGUCGGCUCAUCACAUCCUGGGGCUGAAGUAGGUCCCAAGGGUAUGGCUGUUCGCCAUUUAAAGUGGUACGCGAGCUGGGUUUAGAACGUCGUGAGACAGUUCGGUCCCUAUCUGCCGUGGGCGCUGGAGAACUGAGGGGGGCUGCUCCUAGUACGAGAGGACCGGAGUGGACGCAUCACUGGUGUUCGGGUUGUCAUGCCAAUGGCACUGCCCGGUAGCUAAAUGCGGAAGAGAUAAGUGCUGAAAGCAUCUAAGCACGAAACUUGCCCCGAGAUGAGUUCUCCCUGACCCUUUAAGGGUCCUGAAGGAACGUUGAAGACGACGACGUUGAUAGGCCGGGUGUGUAAGCGCAGCGAUGCGUUGAGCUAACCGGUACUAAUGAACCGUGAGGCUUAACCUUACAACGCCGAAGGUGUUU
rnacentral:rRNA from 1 species